rnacentral:rRNA from 1 species
UACGUAGGGGGCAAGCGUUGUCCGGAAUCAUUGGGCGUAAAGAGCGUGUAGGCGGCCCGAUAAGUCGGCUGUGAAAGUCAGGGGCUCAACCCUUGAAAGCCGGCCGAUACUGUCGGACUAGAGUCCGGAAGAGGCAAGUGGAAUUCCCGGUGUAGCGGUGAAAUGCGCAGAUAUCGGGAGGAACACCAAUGGCGAAGGCAGCUUGCUGGGACGGUACUGACGCUGAGGCGCGAAAGCGUGGGGAGCAAACAGG